AAUAAGUACAGUUUUGUAACUGUUUGUCUUAUUUAAAUUUUUUAUGAUUAUUAUUUUUUUAUUAGAUGGUAAAACAUUAAUAAUACUUUAUAUGUGACUAUUUUUUAAAAAAAAUUGAUAACUUUUCAAAUAAGAUAGACGGUCAAAAAUUAGACAUGAAUAUCCACGGCUGCACUUAUU
rnacentral:pre_miRNA from 1 species